GUCUGAUGCAGCCACUGCCGCGUGUAUGAAGAAGGCCUUCGGGUCUGUAAAGCUACUUUCGUCGGGGAAGAACAGGAGUAAAGUUAAUACCUUUGCUCCUUGACGUUACCCGCACAAAAAGCCCCGGCUAACUCCGUGCCAGCAGCCGCGGUAAUAA
rnacentral:rRNA from 1 species